rnacentral:rRNA from 1 species
AGACCCGAAACCCGGUGAUCUAGCCAUGGGCAGGUUGAAGGUUGGGUAACACUAACUGGAGGACCGAACCGACUAAUGUUGAAAAAUUAGCGGAUGACCUGUGGCUGGGGGUGAAAGGCCAAUCAAACCGGGAGAUAGCUGGUUCUCCCCGAAAGCUAUUUAGGUAGCGCCUCGUGAAUUCAUCUCCGGGGGUAGAGCACUGUUUCGGCUAGGGGGCCAUCCCGGCUUACCAACCCGAUGCAAACUGCGAAUACCGGAGAAUGUUAUCACGGGAGACACACGGCGGGUGCUAACGUCCGUCGUGAAGAGGGAAACAACCCAGACCGCCAGCUAAGGUCCCAAAGUCAUGGUUAAGUGGGAAACGAUGUGGGAAGGCCCAGACAGCCAGGAUGUUGGCUUAGAAGCAGCCAUCAUUUAAAGAAAGCGUAAUAGCUCACUGGUCGAGUCGGCCUGCGCGGAAGAUGUAACGGGGCUAAACCAUGCACCGAAGCUGCGGCAGCGAACGUAUCACUUAAAGCGAUUCAGCGGGUUACGAUUGACGGAGCGAAGCGACGUCAAAGCGUAUACAAAGUCGAGUCGGUUUAAGGAUACGUUCGUUGGGUAGGGGAGCGUUCUGUAAGCCUGUGAAGGUGUGUCGUGAGGCAUGCUGGAGGUAUCAGAAGUGCGAAUGCUGACAUAAGUAACGAUAAAGCGGGUGAAAAGCCCGCUCGCCGGAAGACCAAGGGUUCCUGUCCAACGUUAAUCGGGGCAGGGUGAGUCGACCCCUAAGGCGAGGCCGAAAGGCGUAGUCGAUGGGAAACGGGUUAAUAUUCCCGUACUUGGUGUUACUGCGAAGGGGGGACGGAGAAGGCUAUGUUGGCCGGGCGACGGUUGUCCCGGUUUAAGCGUGUAGGUGUGUGUUCCAGGUAAAUCCGGUUCACUUUAACACUGAGGCGUGA